AAAUUGAAGAGUUUGAUCAUGGCUCAGAUUGAACGCUGGCGGCAGGCCUAACACAUGCAAGUCGAACGGUAACAGGAAGCAGCUUGCUGCUUCGCUGACGAGUGGCGGACGGGUGAGUAAUGUCUGGGAAACUGCCUGAUGGAGGGGGAUAACUACUGGAAACGGUGGCUAAUACCGCAUAACGUCGCAAGACCAAAGGGGGGGACCUUCGGGCCUCUUG
rnacentral:rRNA from 1 species